UACGAAGGUGUCGAACGUUGUCCGGAAUAACUGGGCGUAAAGGGCGCGUAGGCGGUCGGGUAAGUGGGAUGUGAAAGCUCUGGGCUCAACCCCAGGAAUUGCAUUCCAUACUGCUCGACUUGAGUUCGGUAGAGGAGGGCGGAAUUCCAGGUGUAGCGGUGAAAUGCGUAGAUAUCUGGAGGAACACCCGUGGCGAAGGCGGCUCUCUGGUCCGAUACUGACGCUGAGGCGCGAAAGCUAGGGGAGCAAACGGGG
rnacentral:rRNA from 1 species